UGUCGUCAGCUCGUGUUGUGAAAUGUUGGGUUAAGUCCCGCAACGAGCGCAACCCUUAUCCUUUGUUGCCAGCGGUCCGGCCGGGAACUCAAAGGAGACUGCCAGUGAUAAACUGGAGGAAGGUGGGGAUGACGUCAAGUCAUCAUGGCCCUUACGACCAGGGCUACACACGUGCUACAAUGGCGCAUACAAAGAGAAGCGACCUCGCGAGAGCAAGCGGACCUCAUAAAGUG
rnacentral:rRNA from 2 species